UUCUGUUAACAGUUCGGCUACAUUUCCAUUUAGAGUAUUUCUUUCAGGUAUUUUUCUAUCCAUAUUUUUCAAAAUGAUUAAACUUAAUCCUCUAUAACAAUUUACUGCUUUGUUAUUUUCCCUUAGUAUUACUGCUGUUACCAUUUACUUAACCAUUUCUUCCCUGUUUAACGGUACUGUUCCACUGUUCACAGAAACUGCAAGAUGGAAAUCUUUGUACAUAAAUCUUCAUCUGGAUAUACGACUACUUCCUUGAAACAGAAUAUUAGGAGUGACAUUCCUCGGUCAAAAGACUGGACCGAUUCAUUCUCCUCCCAUAAACGCCAAGAUGGCUCACAUUCCUCACCCCUGAUUUCCAGGAUAAGAGGGUAGAGUUCGGUCCUGAUACAGGAAAGUUUCUACUGCGAAUGAGGAUUUGUGAAUGACUGCACACAAAGCCGGAUCUGGGUCACUCACAGUCAGAAGCUGUCACACUGCCUGCCUCCCAAACAUCUAGAAGAGCAAGAUGACAAGAAUUCCUGCCAAUAAAUCCCUCCCAAGAUCCCUGUCUGGUCAGCAAAAGCAUGGGAGCAAGGGGUCUGACAAAGGAAAGAAUUUGGACUCCACUUUCCAAGAGAGAUCUUUCUGGAUAAGGCAAUGGAGGAUACUGAUUAAGAGCACAAACUCAGGGGAUGGUGGGGAGGGGGACGCACAAACUCUGGAGGUAGUGCCGAGAUUCGAACAGGGGCUCUCCACAGACUAGUUGUGGGACCUUAGGCUGCUUACCUAACCUUUGUGUGCCAUCUGCAAAACAGAAGUCAUAACUAUACCCUCCUCGUGGUGUUGCUAUCAGGUUUGAAGUAAAUGAGUUAAUAGCAAUGAAGCACUUAGAACAAUGCUCGUCCCAAGGUAAGCACUAUAGACACAAGUGCCUGUAAAAUAAACAGGUAGUUCAAGUUCUGUGAAAACGACUGAUCGUGCAAAGGCACAAAAUGAAGUCCUGGUACCUCAACCACUUUUUAAGUGUGUCCAUUCCUCAGCACACACAUGCAUAACCGCAAAUUAAAUUAUUCAUAGCUAAAAAGUCAGUAAGACCGUACUGCAGUGAUGCCCUGAAAAACGUGCUUAACUGAUUUGUUAAUUACGAAUGCAUAUUCUUUUAACAAAGAAAACAGAUUACUCAUGGAUGUCUCUAUUUAGUACUUAAAAUAUUACUUGCUAGCUUCACACUUGUUUACAUUUUUCUAAUUAGUCAAUUCCAGCUUCUGGCAAAACAGAGUACAGGAUAAAAGCUACAUGACUUUUCCCUACAAUGGCAACUAUAUACAGAAAGGACAAAAGAGAGACCUUAGGCCAAAUUUCCUAAUACUCAAAUGCUUUCCAUUUAAUAAUACGUGUUCAAUACUA